UGUUAAUGGUAUGUUCUAUUAUUACCUAAGUUGAUGGUUUGGUAUAAAUGAGACCCUUCCACCCCAUGCUGUCAAUCUACCCUGAGUCUCCUGUCAACCUGUCUUAGGCCCACCACAUGCUUGGAAUUCCACUUUGGAAAUCCCCUAAACUUUGAUGCUUGAUUAGUCCAUGUGACCCAACUUUCCCCCCUUACCUCCCUCAUUGGAUAAUGAUUUUGUGAACCCUGCCUUUUACCCUCCCCAGGAUAUCUCUGAUUAGCUGAUGCUUUGUACCCCCCCCUUUGAACCACCUCCCUGUUUCAGCUGUUGCACGCUCGCAUUUGCUGUCUUUUGCCCCCAGUAUUCCCCAGAGCAAUAAAUCCUCUGUUAUCCCAUGCAAAAGACCUCCCUCUCGUCCUUGUCUCCUCAGAGCUCAGACUGACAGCCAGAAAGCCGUAGAGCAAGUGCUCUAGUCACACCUCGGGUCAUCCUGCUCCUGGGGUGUGACCCACUCCUGUCGCAAGCUUAAGUGAUAGAGCCAGAUAAGCUCCAGCGGGACGCGAUAGCUGGCGCCCACCGCAAGGCCCUGUGAAUGGACCCCACGGACAAACUGUGGAUUUUAUCCAAGAAGUUCUGGCCGUCAGCUGCCUCCAAGUGGCUCCGAGACCGGUUUUUCUCUGGUGGUUCUUGGGGGGAGGAAGUGAUAAUCCUCUAGCAUCGAGGACCACUUCCCUGAGGAGGACUUCCCUGAAGCCCCUGUCCAGUGGACCAAAGGAGGGGCCAAAUCAUCACCCAGGCAAUUCCAAUUCCACAUGAGAUGCCAGUGGACGAUUCUUCACCAGGUGUCUACUGGGCAGAAGUCAUUGGAGAAGACAAGCCUUGGAUGGGGUGUGGACUCUGGAGAGGUGAAGAUUACCUUCACCUUGAUGGAGUGUUGGACACAGGGGCAGAUGUGACAAUCAUCCCAACCACCAGAUGGCCAUCACAUUGGGAAUUGCAACCUGUGGUAGGUAAAGUACAAGGUAUUGGGGGUGCCCAAUUUGCCAAACAAUCUAAGAGCAUCGUCCAAAUUGGAGGGCCAGAUUGGCAAUUGGCCAGCUUACGCCCAUUCGUUUUAGACUAUAAAGUUCCCCUGUGGGGGAGAGAUGCCAUGUCCCAAUGGGGAGUGAAAAUUGAAAUCCCAAAAACCCUAUGGGAUUUUUCAUAGUGGCUGCUGAUGAGCGCCCUGCACAGAAGCUGAGCUGGAAAACAGAACACCCAGUAUGGGUAGAUCAGUGGCCGCUGAAUAAAUAAAAAUUGAAGGCACUCAAUGAAUUGGUAGAACAGUUAGCAAAAGGCAACAUUGUGCCAACCACCAGCCCUUGGAAUUCCCUGGUCUUUGUUGUCAGGAAGCCAGGAAAGGACAAGUGGUGACUCAUCCAAGACCUUAGAGAAAUUAACAAAGUCAUUGAAGACAUGGGGUCUCUUCAACCAGGAAUGCCCUCCCCAUUGAUGCUCCCCCAAAAUUGGAAUUUGGCCAUUAUUGAUAUAAAAGACUGUUUCUUCCAUAUUCCCCUUGACCCUGCUGAUGCCCCACGGUUUGCCUUCUCAGUUCCCUCCAUCAAUCAAGAAGCUCCAAUGAAGUGCUACCAUUGGCAAACCUUGCCACAAGGCAUGAAAAACAGUCCCAGUAUCUGCCAGUGGUACAUUGCUUCAUUGCGGUCGCCAGUGCAUGCCAAAUCAAGAGAAACCAUCAUCGUGCGCUAUAUGGAUGAUGUGCUGGUGUGUGCCCCUAAUGAUGAUAUGCUACAGCAUGCGCUUGACCUAGUUGUCAAUGUUUUGAUUACUGCAGGAUUUGAACUCCAAAAGGACAAAGUUGAACGGGUGCCCCCUUGGAGAUAUCUGGGGCUCCAAAUUAGCAAGAGGACCAUUACUCCUCAAAAAUCGAUGAUCAGAAACAACCCAAAAACCUUAGCUGAUCUCCACCAGCUGUGUGGGUCCUUAAAUUGGGUAAGACCCUGGCUGGGCUUAACAACAGAAGACCUAGCCCCCCUUUUCAAUUUAUUGAAAGGGGGAGAGGAACUGAGUUCUCCUAGGGUCCUAACCCAAGAGGCCAAGCUAGCUCUGGAGAAAGCUCAAUAGGCGAUGGCAACAAAACAAGCUCAUUGCUGCCUGCCAGACUUGCCAUUUAAGUUUAUUGUUUUGGGAAGAUUGCCCACCUCCAUGGCUUGAUUUUUCAAUGGGAACAAGGUCAGAAGGAUCCACUCUUGAUCAUAGAGUGGGUAUUCCUUACCAAAGGUAAGGUCCAAAAGUAUCACCAGGCCACAAGAGAUAAUAGCUCAGUUCAUCCGGAAGGCCAGGGCAAGAAUGCGAGAACUGGCGGGGUGUGACUUCGCAUGCGUCCAUCUACCACUUAGCCUAACAUCAGGUAAGUUAACAAAAGUGGUUCUAGAGCAGUUACUUAGGGAAAAUGAGACACUCCAAUUUGCUCUAGAUAGCUACCCAGGACAAAUUUCAAUUCAUAAUCCUGGACAUAAAUUAUUUAAUUCGGCAUUUAAAUUAGUCCCCAAGGGAAAACAAAGUCAGAGGCCACUCAAUGCUGUGACAGUUUUCACAGAUGCAUCUGGAGCAUCCCACAAGUCAGUGAUGACUUGGAAGGAUCCUCAGACUCAGAAAUGGGAAGCAGAUGUAAAAGAAGUUGAGGGCUCCCCUCAAAUUAUUGAGUUAGACACAGUCGUCAGAGUCUUUGAGAGGUUUUCUGAAUCUUUUAAUCUAGUCACUGAUUCGGCCUAUGUUGCAGGAGUAGUAUCUAGAGCUGAAAAUGCUGUUUUAAAGGUCUCUAAUCCUAGCCUGUUUAAGUUACUCUCAAAAUUAGUUUGUUUCCCACCGAGAGCAACCUUUCUAUGUGAUGCAUGUCAGAUCACACACUGACCUUCUAGGUUUCAUUGCAGAGGGGAACAGAAGAGCAGACGCCCUGGCUGCCCCAGCUGAGAUGGUCAACCUGCCAGGUAUCUUUCAGCAGGCAAAGCUGAGCCAUCAACAAUUCCAUCAAAAUGUGCCUGGCCUGGUACGCCAAUUUCAUCUAAAGCAGGACCAGGCCAAAGCCAUUGUAGCUACAUGUCCCAGUUGCCAAAGGCAUGCAGUACCAACCUUGAGUGCUGGUGCAAAUCCAAGAGACCUCAACAGCUAUGAUGUGUGGCAGAUGGAGGUGACUCACAUCCCUCAAUUCAUCAGGCUGAGAUGAAGAUGGCAGUGACCAGAGCUCCGGGGAGGAAAUUAUUGAACCUUUGUUAUCAGGGAGUGUGAGACUGAAUGGAGACAAAAGAAGAUUUAUCUGCUGGAGGAGGAGGGAGUUGAAACUAAGCAAAGGAACAUCUAAACUUAAGAGGAAUGUUUGAAUCAUGUAUAGGGAUCUAUGAAUAUGCAACAUUCUAGUGUUUUUAAGAAAAGAGCCUUUGUUAGUAAGGUGUGCUUUUGGCUGAAUGCCGAGGCACCCGGCCAUAUUUUUUCAUUUUGCUUUAUUUCUGUCUCCUAAUUGUCUUUUUAUUAAACUUUUUUAAUUAUACCAAAGAAGUGAACCUCAUUUUUCACAUCCUGUAUUACACGCUGGCUCUCCUUUUGGAGCCAGGAACAUAGCUGUAAAAUCAGAAUGAGGUAAUAAUUAACUUGGAAUUAUUUCUACCCUUACUAACACAAUCUCCUAAAGGCUUCAAUAUAAUCAGUUUGUCAAGACUCCCAUAGUCCUUGUCCUUCUCUUAAAUGUAGUGCACACUCUUCUAAGUGACACCUCUCAAGCUGGACUCGACAUUCCUUGCAUGUCUUACAAUUCUCUCUCAUAACAUGCCAACCUUGGGCACAAACCUUUAAGUAUAAGUGUUUUGCCCCAGUGUGGCUUUGUUUGACUUGCAGCCACUCCAUGGGGUGCUCCCAGUUAUCAGUUACUGCCUCCUAGUUUAAUGGAGCAAGUCUGGUCCACUGAAUCAUCCCCUAUUUGGCAAGUGGCUAUCCAUACUACUGCAAAGUCACCUUUGUUUGCAAAUGUUAAGACGUUUUUCCACUUCUCUUCCUGCCAAACCAGGAAUCCCAUUUACCUCCCACUUAUUCUGUUCCCAGAACUGAAGUUAUUUACAGACCUUAAAGACAGCAAAGGAAUUAGUAUAGAUGAUAGGAGAGAGGGACACACAUUCGUGUUUGAAAAUACUUCAUGCAGCUGCCAGUUCUCCAACCUGGGCACUAUCUUUGCCUUCAGUGACAAAAUGUUGCUCAGUAUUGGUCGUAAGGCGACUGCCCGGUAUUCCUCAUCUUGCCUUCUCACUUAGCUGAGGCAUCAGUGAACUAUGCAUUUUGCAAGUG